rnacentral:rRNA from 1 species
CAGUCGCCGCGGUAAGACGAACCGUCCGAACGUUAUUCGGAAUCACUGGGCUUAAAGCGCGUGUAGGCGGGCCGGCACGUCCGAUGCUGAAAUCCCCCGGCUUAACCGGGGAAGUGGCACGGAUACGACCGGCCUGGAGGGAGGUAGGAGGGCCUGGAACUUCCGGUGGAGCGGUGAAAUGCGUUGAGAUCGGAAGGAACGCCCGUGGCGAAAGCGAGGCCCUGGACCUUUUCUGACGCUGAGACGCGAAAGCCAGGGGAGCGAACAGGAUUAGAUACCCGUGUAGUCCCUGUCUCUUAUA